rnacentral:ribozyme from 14 species
AGAUAGAAAAAAAAAUAAGAGACCAAAACAAAUAUCGAUACAUUCGCUCGAUCAUAUUAUUGUUUUUUCUUCUUCAUCGCUUUAGAUCAAUACUUUUGAUCGUGACUCAUUCUUCUCUUCUUCUUCUUCUUCU